rnacentral:rRNA from 1 species
UACAGAGGUCCCGAGCGUUGUUCGGAUUUAUUGGGCGUAAAGGGUGCGUAGGUGGCAAAGUAAGUUGGAUGUGAAAUCCUGGGGCUUAACCUCAGAAUUGCAUUCAAUACUGCUUAGCUAGAGAGCUGUAGAGGAGACUGGAAUUUACGGUGUAGCAGUGAAAUGCGUAGAGAUCGUAAGGAAGACCAGUGGCGAAGGCGGGUCUCUGGACAGUUCCUGACACUGAGGCACGAAGGCCAGGGGAACAAACGGG